AUUGAACGCUGGCGGCAUGCCUUACACAUGCAAGUCGAACGGUAACAGGUUAAGCUGACGAGUGGCGAACGGGUGAGUAAUGUAUCGGAACGUGCCCAGUCGUGGGGGAUAACUACUCGAAAGAGUGGCUAAUACCGCAUACGACCUGAGGGUGAAAGCGGGGGACCGUAAGGCCUCGCGCGAUUGGAGCGGCCGAUAUCAGAUCAGCUAGUUGGUGGGGUAAAAGCCCACCAAGGCGACGAUCUGUAGCUGGUCUGAGAGGACGGCCAGCCACACUGGGACUGAGACACGGCCCAGACUCCUACGGGAGGCAGCAGCGGGGAAUUUUGGACAAUGGACGCAAGUCUGAUCCAGCCAUGCCGCGUGCGGGAAGAAGGCCUUCGGGUUGUAAACCGCUUUUGUCAGGGAAGAAACGAGUUUCUCUAAUACAGAGACUUAAUGACGGCACCUGAAGAAUAAGCACCGGCUAACUACGUGCCAGCCGCCGCCGUAACAC
rnacentral:rRNA from 1 species